rnacentral:rRNA from 1 species
AAGGAGGCUUCGGUCUCUGGAGAGCGGCGAACGGGUGAGUAACACGUGGGUAAUCUGCCUGGGAAUGGGGGAUAACCUGGGGAAACUCGGGCUAAUACCGCAUACGUUGGUUGGAUUUCGGUCUGACCUAAGAAAGCUGGCCUCUGCUUGCAAGCUAGCGUUCCUGGAGGAGCCCGCGGCUGAUUAGCUAGUUGGUGAGGUAAAGGCUCACCAAGGCGACGAUCAGUAGCCGGCCUGAGAGGGUGAUCGGCCACACUGGGACUGAGACACGGCCCAGACUCCUACGGGAGGCAGCAGUGGGGAAUAUUGGACAAUGGGCGCAAGCCUGAUCCAGCAACGCCGCGUGGAGGAUGAAGGUCUUCGGAUCGUAAACUCCUGUCAGAUGGGACGAAGGCUUGAUUGCAAACAGUGGUCAAGUUUGACGGUACCAUCAGAGGAAGCCCCGGCUAACUCCGUGCCAGCAGCCGCGGUAAUACGGAGGGGGCGAGCGUUAUUCGGAAUUAUUGGGCGUAAAGGGCGCGUAGGCGGCUCUAUAAGUCAAAGGUGAAAUCCCUCGGCUCAACUGAGGAACUGCCUUUGAAACUGUUGGGCUUGAGGCCGGGAGAGGGUAGUGGAAUUCCCAGUGUAGCGGUGAAAUGCGUAGAUACUGGGAGGAACACCAGUGGCGAAGGCGGCUACCUGGACCGGUACUGACGCUGAGGCGCGAAAGCGUGGGUAGCAAACAGGAUUAGAUACCCUGGUAGUCCACGCUGUAAACGAUGGGUGCUCGGUGUCGCGGGUAUCGACCCCUGCGGUGCCUUAGCUAACGCGUUAAGCACCCCGCCUGGGGAGUACGGUCGCAAGGCUGAAACUC